GAGGGUAUAGCUCAGUGGUAGAGUGCGUGUUUAGCAUGAAAAAGGUCCUGGGGUCAAGCCUCAGUACCUCCA
rnacentral:tRNA from 1 species